rnacentral:tRNA from 1 species
UCCUGACCCAGGGAUUGAACCUGGGUAUCCUGCAUUGUAGGCAGACGCUUUAUUAUCUGAGCCACCAGGGAAAUCCAGGUGUUAGUUUCAGGUACACAGCAAAGUGCUUCUGUUAUAUCUAUCUAUUCUUUUUUCAGAUUCUUUUCCCUUAUAGGUUAUUCCAAGAUACUGAGUAGAGCUCCCUGUCCUAUACAGUAGGUCCUUGUUGGUUAUCUAGAGUUCUGGUGUACCAGCUUUGUUGCCCGGCACCAUGUGGAGUCUUCCCAGAUCAGAGAUCCAACCGGUGUCCCCUGCACUGGCAGGCAGAUUCUCUACCACUGGACCACCAGGGAAGUCCUGGACAUUUUGUUUAAAGGGUCAAGAGAUUGACCUUUGACAUAGGAAACAAACUUGUGGUUACCAAAGGGGAAAGGUUGGGCAGGGGCUGCUAAUUAGGAGUUAGGGUCUAACAUAUACACAUAUUUUAAUUUAUUAUCUAUGUCUGAGGUCAAGUUCUUGACCCUUUAAACAACAUGCUCAGAAUGCUCACCAGAAGUAGAAAGAAUAUCUUCUCUCUGGGUCUCUCUUGAGUUCCCUGUCACCUUGGAGUCUGGAAGGGAGAAGGCGUGCUUGUUUCCCUCCUCCAGGGAAAUGCAGACAUGAAGGGGAAGAGGAUAUAAAGGUGUUUGACCUGGAGGGCUCAGCUACAGAAUCGCUGCAGGAAAGAAGACAAAGUUGUCGACCUGAGAAAACAAGAGCAAAGUUGGAUCUGGGCAGAAAGACAGAGGACACUCAGCAGGUGUAAACUGGUCUUUGCUUUUACUCUGACACAAGGCCAAAAGUGUAAGUGCGGUUGUUACUGGGCACACAAGGCCUCAUGUGGCUGAGAUUAACACAUUUUCCAUCAUUUUACUUACAGGGAAGCAUGAAGUUGGAUUCCUGUUUCCGAAUCUCAUUAAGAGAGAACUUUCAAAUCAGCAUUGCAGACAGACGAGCAAGCUUUCCAAUCUGCAAUUAACAAAGUUUAAGAGACGGAAUCAAGAUUGCUGGGAGAAAUAUCAAUAACCUCAGAU